AGCAGUAGCCGCGGUAAUACGAAGGGGGCUAGCGUUGUUCGGAUUUACUGGGCGUAAAGCGCACGUAGGCGGAUCGAUCAGUCAGGGGUGAAAUCCCAGAGCUCAACUCUGGAACUGCCUUUGAUACUGUCGAUCUGGAGUAUGGAAGAGGUGAGUGGAAUUCCGAGUGUAGAGGUGAAAUUCGUAGAUAUUCGGAGGAACACCAGUGGCGAAGGCGGCUCACUGGUCCAUUACUGACGCUGAGGUGCGAAAGCGUGGGGAGCAAACAGGAUUAGAUACCCCCGUAGUCCCUGUCUCUUAUCC
rnacentral:rRNA from 1 species